rnacentral:rRNA from 1 species
GACGAACGCUGGCGGCGUGCUUAACACAUGCAAGUCGAACGGAAAGGCCCUGCUUUUUUGGGGUGCUCGAGGGGCGAACUGGUGAGUAACACUUGAGUAACCUGCCCUUGACUUUGGGAUAACUUCAGGCAACUUGGUCUCUUACCGCAUAGGAUCUCCUGCUGCAUGGUGGGGGUUGGUAAGUUUCGGCGGUUGGGGGUGGACUCGCGGCUUAUCGGCUUGUUGGUGGGGUAGUGGAUUACCAAGGCUUUGACGGGUAGCCGGCCUGAGAGGGUGGACGGCCCCAUUGGGACUGAGAUACGGCCCAGACUCGUACCGGAGGCAGCGGUGGGGAAUAUUGUACUAUGGGAGGAAGCCUGAUGCAGCAACGCAGCGCGGGGGAUGACGGGCAUCGGGUUGUGAAGCGCAUCCGCCUGUGACGAAGCGUGAGUGACGGUACCGGGUGAAGAAGCACCGGCUAACUACGUG